rnacentral:rRNA from 1 species
GACGAACGCUGGCGGCGUGCUUAACACAUGCAAGUCGAACGGAAAGGCCCUGCUUUUGUGGGGUGCUCGAGUGGCGAACGGGUGAGUAACACGUGAGUAACCUGCCCUUGACUUUGGGAUAACUUCAGGAAACUGGGGCUAAUACCGGAUAGGUGCUCCUGCUGCAUGGUGGGGGUUGGAAAGUUUCGGCGGUUGGGGAUGGACUCGCGGCUUAUCAGCUUGUUGGUGGGGUAGUGGCUUACCAAGGCUUUGACGGGUAGCCGGCCUGAGAGGGUGACCGGCCACAUUGGGACUGAGAUACGGCCCAGACUCCUACGGGAGGCAGCAGUGGGGAAUAUUGCACAAUGGGCGGAAGCCUGAUGAAGCAACGCCGCGUGCGGGAUGACGGCCUUCGGGUUGUAAACCGCUUUAGCCUGUGACGAAGCGUGAGUGACGGUAAUGGGUAAAGAAGCACCGGCUAACUACGUG